AUUGGAGGACAAACAGUUUUCGACCGUGUGGUGUCGUGUCAUGUGGUGGCAAUGCUGGUAUAAUGUGCCAUUCAAGUUCUACAGUACUGGACAUUCUAUCAUUUACACGCGUCAAACUGGUCAACACAGUCGCCCUCGGUACCAGCCCAAAGGUAUCUCAGAAUGUGUGUCAAAGUUCUUACCGGUGGAGUGGGAGCAUGCAGGUGAUGGAGAGGCAACUCAGCAACUGUGUACUGAUUGUUCAAGUACUGUGGAGAAGAAAGAGGAAUAUGAUAUAAUUUAAAAAAAAUUGUGUUUUCUUUUUUAAUUGAUUUGUCCAGCCUUACCUGCUUGUUAGCAUGCUCGUUUCCUGUCAUUUGGCUGGACAGCGACUGGUCGUUGAGGUCUGCUGAAUAGGUUAGCUGGUCGCCCAGGUAGCCUAUACCAUCUUCUGUUAACAGGGUUAACAUUGGCAGCUCUUCUGGGUCAACGAGUGGGGGUGGUGGUGAAAGAUUUAGAUGGUUGUCCAGGACGUCCAUCUCCACCAUGGGUUCCAGAAGCGGCAUCAGGAGCUCGUACCAUUUCACCUCCUCUCCAGUAGCCUCUCUUAGCGUCAGCUCCAUGCUGGUGCAAAGAUGGAGAAUGCUGUAAAACAACCAGAAAAAGAAGUUUAAACCUCCACAUUUGAAUAAAAGGUCCAAGCAUCUACUCCUAAGAUGUCCUCUUACAAUUUUAUAUCACCUAUUCUAUCACUAUUAGUUAACUUAAUUAAAUCACCUGUAUCCCAUUGACUACAGUAACUUAUUUUUUAAACUUCAAACAGCCAAAAUAAUUAUACUCACAUAGAGGAAUAUCCAAAUGUCUGCAAAUCAAACUAACUUUGCUCAACUCUACGUUUUGCUUUAGAUGCUCCAACCAACAAGU